UACACAUUUGCCUGUGAAAAAUUUUAUGAAUAGUUGCUAGGAAGGUAGACAACCCAAGAGUUACCCACAGGAGACGUCCCCUGCACCCAUCUAGAAUGACCUUCCCCUUCAAAGAGACCCUGUUUUAUGUUCCUUAUACACUGAGUGACAGGAAGCUGUCAGGAGAUGAGGCAGGUGGGAACCCAGCUCCAUGACAUAGCGACAGAAGAGAGCCUAUGGAUCUCAACUGCAGUGCUUAUGUAUCCUCAUAAUUUAAUUUCCAGAGUCUGAGAGUCUUCUCAAGGGAGAAAACUUUGACUUGUGAAAAUUCCGAGAAUACUGGACUAGUGUCAUAACUUAUCCUAAAUGUAGCACAAUUUGUGAAGUAACACAGGACCUGGCAAAGCAAUUCAUGGAAAACAGUGCCCACAGAGCAGAAGAUGGCCUUGAUGUCCAACUCGGAGUGGGAAUUGUCUUGAUCCUUCAGGAAGUUCCACCUUGUCGUCAGGAUCUUGUUCUGUUGCUCCAAGC